rnacentral:rRNA from 1 species
AGAGUUUGAUCCUGGCUCAGAUUGAACGCUGGCGGCAUGCCUUACACAUGCAAGUCGAACGGCAGCAUGGAAGAGCUUGCUCUUCUGAUGGCGAGUGGCGAACGGGUGAGUAAAGCAUCGGAACGUACCGUGUAGUGGGGGAUAACGUAGCGAAAGUUACGCUAAUACCGCAUACGCACUGGGGUGGAAAGCAGGGGAUCGCAAGACCUUGCGCUAUACGAGCGGCCGAUGUCAGAUUAGCUAGUUGGUAGGGUAAAGGCCUACCAAGGCGACGAUCUGUAGCGGGUCUGAGAGGAUGAUCCGCCACACUGGGACUGAGACACGGCCCAGACUCCUACGGGAGGCAGCAGUGGGGAAUUUUGGACAAUGGGGGAAACCCUGAUCCAGCCAUGCCGCGUGAGUGAAGAAGGCCUUCGGGUUGUAAAGCUCUUUCGGCCGGGAAGAAAUCGCACAGGCUAAUACUCUGUGUGGAUGACGGUACCGGCAUAAGAAGCACCGGCUAACUACGUGCCAGCAGCCGCGGUAAUACGUAGGGUGCGAGCGUUAAUCGGAAUUACUGGGCGUAAAGCGUGCGCAGGCGGUUAGAUAAGUUUGCUGUGAAAUCCCCGGGCUCAACCUGGGAACUGCAUUGAAGACUGUCUGACUAGAGUACGGCAGAGGGGGGUAGAAUUCCACGUGUAGCAGUGAAAUGCGUAGAGAUGUGGAGGAAUACCAAUGGCGAAGGCAGCCCCCUGGGUCGAUACUGACGCUCAUGCACGAAAGCGUGGGGAGCAAACAGGAUUAGAUACCCUGGUAGUCCACGCCCUAAACGAUGUCAACUAGUUGUUGGUAGGGUUAGACCUAUUAGUAACGUAGCUAACGCGAGAAGUUGACCGCCUGGGGAGUACGGUCACAAGAUUAAAACUCAAAGGAAUUGACGGGGACCCGCACAAGCGGUGGAUGAUGUGGAUUAAUUCGAUGCAACGCGAAAAACCUUACCUACCCUUGACAUGUCAAGAAUCCCUGAGAGAUUAGGGAGUGCCGCAAGGAACUUGAACACAGGUGCUGCAUGGCUGUCGUCAGCUCGUGUCGUGAGAUGUUGGGUUAAGUCCCGCAACGAGCGCAACCCUUGUCAUUAGUUGCCAUCAUUUAGUUGGGCACUCAAUGAGACUGCCGGUGACAAACCGGAGGAAGGUGGGGAUGACGUCAAGUCCUCAUGGCCCUUAUGGGUAGGGCUUCACACGUCAUACAAUGGUCGGUACAGAGGGUCGCUAACCCGCGAGGGGGUGCCAAUCUCAGAAAGCCGAUCGUAGUCCGGAUCGUAGUCUGCAACUCGACUACGUGAAGCCGGAAUCGCUAGUAAUCGCGGAUCAGAAUGCCGCGGUGAAUACGUUCCCGGGUCUUGUACACACCGCCCGUCACACCAUGGGAGUGGGUUUCACCAGAAGUAGCUAGCCUAACCGUAAGGGGGGCGGUUACCACGGUGAGAUUCAUGACUGGGGUGAAGUCGAAACAAGGUA